rnacentral:lncRNA from 1 species
CAUAAUCAAAUAGUUCUCCUCAAUUCUUCACCUCACAUCAAGAAGAACCCUCCUUCACCGACCGAAAACAUAUUGAUGUAGCAGCUCGUUGUACACGAAGCCGUCGCCCUUUCGUGUCUCUUUUCACCGACAUUUACUUCUCCCAUAUCCACUCAUCAGAAUCGACUUCCUUUCCUUAUCUCGUUGGUUUCGAGGCCAUCCUUCUUGCUAUAUACUCCACGGAGGUGAAAUCCAGGGCUGGGAAACCUGUUCUUGCUCAGAUUCCAGAUCUCUCGAAGCCGUCCCUGUAUUAAGCUCUGAAAAAAGACAAACAAGGAGCUCGUCGGUGACUUGUUGACUGAAAGGUCAAAGGUCUCUAACGACGAUAAACAUGAAACAAACCCGGGAGGAAUCAAACCAGUGAGAUUGUUUGAAGAUAGAUCGAGAUUCGCACAAUAGUUGGAGACAAAUCGUCGACGCUAGUCGCCGAAAUCUCGUCGUGGAAUUGUUGCCGGGGCGACAAGAACUUCAACUUCUUCUUCCACAAAUGUCGGUGUUUCAGCCAGAGACGUUAAACAACGCGAGGCUCUCGCAUCAAUAGAGGAGAGUGUCAAGAUCGUCGGAGAUUUUGUUGCCGGAGACAUCGAGGUGGAAAAGAGAUGGAAGAGGAAGAAAGGAUACAUAUGAGAUGAACGGUGU